rnacentral:rRNA from 1 species
UCAGCUCGUGUCGUGAGAUGUUGGGUUAAGUCCCGCAACGAACGCAACCCUCGCCCUUAGUUGCCAGCAUUCAGUUGGGCACUCUAGGGGGACUGCCGGUGAUAAGCCGAGAGGAAGGUGGGGAUGACGUCAAGUCCUCAUGGCCCUUACGGGCUGGGCUACACACGUGCUACAAUGGUGGUGACAAUGGGCAGCGAAACCGCAAGGUGGAGCUAAUCUCCAAAAGCCAUCUCAGUUCGGAUUGCACUCUGA